rnacentral:lncRNA from 1 species
AGGAUUAUCAGGAAAAAAGUUGCAGCAAAAGGCUAUUACUAAAUACUUUUCGUUACCGGAGGGUGCGUGAAGCGGAGAGGCGGCUGCCGAGUGUGCAAGCCGGUCACAGCGCAGCAAGGAUUUUCCAAGAGGCGGCGGCGACUGGCCCUUCCCCGCCUCCUGGCCGGGGAGCUGGCUCUUCCACUGCCGCGAGCCCAAAUCUAGACCUGACCUGGAGGCACAGUCUCACAGCCUCUUGCUCCCUGUGCCCAGUAGCAGUUUGAGUCCGGGACACUCCCCAGUGCCAUCUGGGGCUGCCCAGGCACUACAGCCAGCAGAAGACGCUACUGGUGUCCCUGAUAUUUGGUCAUUUUCAAUGCCAAUAACUAAGCUACAAUGGUUCUCCCAUACCUGGAAGCUGAUGAGUAAUGAGCACUAUUAAUGCUUAUUUCAAAUGCAAAAAAACCUUGAGAUAAUGUACUAAAUUGUUCAGAAGGUUGUUUUCUUAGUGGAAUGCUACAGGAUUUUCUUUAGCCUUCCAGAGUUCCUGCCUUCUUCCCAGUGCCGGUGAAAACGAGGGUGGAAGAAUUUCCAGUGUUGCUGAAAACCGGAUGAAGCUUCGGCUGAGAAACGGACGAGACUUCGGAGCUGUUGCUGUUUCUGCUGCUACAGCUUAGGCUAGCUGCCUGCAGAACUUACCUGGACUGUGAUUUAAGCUAGCUGCCUGCAGAACUUACCUGGACUGUGAGUUAAUCUAUUGAGACACUGCUUUACCUGGACUGAGACAACAAACUGUAAUCUACAACAAAUUGUAACUCGGUAUCUUUGCUAACGGUGUCAUUGCUGGUAUAAUUUUUCCAAGGGCUUCUUGCAUGGAGCCAUCAACUGGCUUGGUAUUGUGGCAUUUUGUAUCCUCCCCUUCUGCUAGUAGCAGAUUAUUUAUGGUGUUUAUGUAAAAACCACUAUGGUCGUUAUUUAAAUUAAACAAAAGGGGGAAAUGUUAGAGUCUGUAAACCAAGUCUGGAUGGCGCCUGGCAAAAUGCCAGAGGGAGUGGUUUGUGAAGUAACGCCAGAGAGCCAUUAAGUGUGGAGAUUCCUUAUUGGUUGACUGCUGUAUCUAGUUUAUGUUAAUUAGAUAAGCUGUGUGUAAUGUAUAAAUACCUCUGUUGUCC